rnacentral:rRNA from 1 species
GCACGGAAGUUAGCCGGAGGCUUCUUCUGCGGGUACCGUCAUCAUCUUCCCCGCCGAAAGAGCUUUACAACCCUAAGGCCUUCAUCACUCACGCGGCAUGGCUGGAUCAGGGUUGCCCCCAUUGUCCAAUAUUCCCCA